rnacentral:lncRNA from 1 species
UCUCUCUCUCUCUCUCUCUCUCUCUCUCUCUCUCUCUCUAAGAUUUGUUGCAGGCGAUUGAAGCUCUGCCGGUGAUAGAAAUCGUCAUCAACAACUCCGAAGGUGAUGAAAACGGCAGCAAUGGUGAUUUUUUCUUCUUGCAAUUCAGAUCUGUUCAAAACAACGGCGACUCUGCCGAAUUUGAUGAGAAAUUCUGGGUGUUUACUUUGAUUUAGGUUUUUUUUAUGUUUUGGAUGAUUUUCGAUGUAAGAUUUUUAAGAAAGUUAUAUAAUUUAGGGUUCUUAUUGUUCUUAUUCUUUUUUCGGAGUAUUUUUAGUGUUUUGAUUUAUUUCAUCUCCAGAUCUGGAUUCAAUAUAACUUGAUGUUACUCA